rnacentral:rRNA from 1 species
GAUGAACGCUGGCGGCGUGCCUAAUACAUGCAAGUCGAGCGAACAGACGAGGAGCUUGCUCCUCUGACGUUAGCGGCGGACGGGUGAGUAACACGUGGAUAACCUACCUAUAAGACUGGGAUAACUUCGGGAAACCGGAGCUAAUACCGGAUAAUAUAUUGAACCGCAUGGUUCAAUAGUGAAAGACGGUUUUGCUGUCACUUAUAGAUGGAUCCGCGCCGCAUUAGCUAGUUGGUAAGGUAACGGCUUACCAAGGCAACGAUGCGUAGCCGACCUGAGAGGGUGGUCGGCCACGCUGGAACUGAGACACGGUCCAGACUCCUACGGGAGGCAGCAGUAGGGAAUCUUCCGCAAUGGGCGAAAGCCUGACGGAGCAACGCCGCGUGAGUGAUGAAGGUCUUCGGAUCGUAAAACUCUGUUAUUAGGGAAGAACAAAUGUGUAAGUAACUAUGCACGUCUUGACGGUACCUAAUCAGAAAGCCACGGCUAACUACGUG